AACGAUCGCUGGCGGCAGGCCUAACACAUGCAAGUCGAACGCCCUAGCAAUAGGGAGUGGCAGACGGGGUGAGUAACACGUGGGAACCUUCCCUAUAGUACGGAAUAGCUCAGGGAAACUUGAAGUAAUACCGUAUACGCCCGAGAGGGGAAAGAUUUAUCGCUAUAGGAUGGGCCCGCGUCGGAUUAGCUAGUUGGUGAGGUAAUGGCUCACCAAGGCGACGAUCCGUAGCUGGUUUGAGAGAACGACCAGCCACACUGGGACUGAGACACGGCCCAGACUCCUACGGGAGGCAGCAGUGGGGAAUAUUGGACAAUGGGCGCAAGCCUGAUCCAGCCAUGCCGCGUGAGUGAUGAAGGCCUUAGGGUUGUAAAGCUCUUUUAGCAGGGAAGAUAAUGACUGUACCUGCAGAAUAAGCUCCAGCUAACUUCGUGCCAGCAGCCGCGGU
rnacentral:rRNA from 1 species